CGUAGAUCGACUGGAGAAGAACGGCACGGCACGCCCGCCGCGGCAGCGCACGGGCGAGCCUGAGCCGCUAGGUAGGUCCCUCCAGACGAUUCUGAGCAAAUCGGGCUAUUUGUCUCCACAGGGCCGACAGCAGAUUGAAAACCUGCAAGCGCGACAACUUAAAGAGCGGCAGCGAGAGCAGGCGGCUGGGUACGUAAGGAAAAGCGGUGUCUGGCCGCGCUACGCGCGCGCAUCGCUGGAUGAUUUGGAAUUGCCCCGCCGGUCUCUCAAUGCCACCGAGCUCGCCCGCUACGUGACCGUGCGCGACCAGCUCCGAACACUCCUUGAUGAG
rnacentral:misc_RNA from 1 species